CUUGACCAAACAUAAGAGGUCUAGCCUGCCCAGUGACUCUGUUCAACGGCCGCGGUAUCCUAACCGUGCGAAGGUAGCGUAAUCAUUUGUUCUUUAAAUGAGGACUAGUAUGAAUGGCUCCACGAGGGUUAUACUGUCUCCUUUUUCUAAUCAGUAAAAUUAAUCUCCCCGUGAAGAAGCGGGAAUAACUAUAUAAGACGAGAAGACCCUAUGGAGCUUUAAACAAACUACAUUUGCCUAAUUUACACUAACAAUUUCAGAAAAAAAAAUAAAUUUUAACAUUAUACUAGCAAGUUUUAGGUUGGGGUGACCGCGGAGUAAAACAUAACCUCCACAUUGAAUAAGAAAAUUCUUUAGCUAAAAGCUACGACUUAAAGCACCAACAAAUUGACAUUUUUUGACCCAAUUAGUUGAUCAACGAAC
rnacentral:rRNA from 1 species